UUUAAAAACAAAUUCCCUCAAAAAACAAUUUCAGUGGAAAAUUUAGCGGUAUUUUUCAAUUUAAGUGGAAAACUUAAGCGGUAUUACUAUUUUCAAUUUAAUUGGAAAAUUUAAGCGGUGAACACCUGAUGGCUGAUGCUAUUCAUUUCAGUAGGCAGUAGCCAACAAUUCAACCAAGGGGGUUUUUCAAUCAAAAACCUAAUCUUUAAUUGAUUCUAAAUUCUUCUGAAGGAUCUAACAUAGGGUUUCUGUUAGUGAAACUCACAAUUCUCUUUCUCUCAACAAAGAAAUACGAAUUCGUCGGUCUCGAUUUCGUCGGUCUUCAAUUGGGAAGAUGAACUUGCGAUUAGGGAGCACCAGAAUUGAAGUCUUGAUGCAGCUGCAUCAAGAGGUAACUAAUAAUCACCUCAUUUCUUUGCUCCAAUUUGGGUUUUUUAAUUAAUUAUUUUGUUGUAAAUUUGUAAUCAAUCAAUUUCAACUGCAAUUGAAUUCAAUAGUAACUUGUUUGUAAAUUUUAGCGAAAAUGAUAAAGGUCGCAACAUGCGACCUUUAGGCCGUGUCACAAUGAUGACAUGACAUGCUUAUGUGUCAUGAUUUAAAUUGGAAUCUAAAAUAUUUAGUUUAUAUAUAUCCUAUUAUACAUGUUUAAAAUAAAGGUAAGAAAAUCUUAAUUUUCUAAUUUGUUUCUUUUUUUAUACCGAUUACCUUAUUUACAUAUUUUCAUAGUAAAAUUUUUGUUUUGAUAGUAAAAAUAUUAUGAUGACUCAUAGCCUACGUGGCGCCUAUAUGUACCAAUUAAACUCCGACACAUAAGAUUGCGACAAUUAAAUGUUGUCGCAACUUGCGACCUUUAUCAUCACCCAAAUUUUAGAUGUGUAUUGUCGAUUUUUAUUAUUUUAUUAAGAAUUUGGGAUGAUUAUUUUGCAAGUUAGUAUUUUAGAAUGUUGGUCUUGUUAUUAAGAAUUGGAGCUGAUUAUUUUUUUCAUCUUAUUUUGGGUACUGGAAACUGAAAGUUUUUGAAAUAUAAAGUUGCGUUAUCUUUCUUUGUUUAAACUGUGCAUCAAUCUCACCGCAAAUUGGAUGGUACAGGCGUGUGCACGAAGCUCUAGGUGCACCGGGAUCAAAACGACCAACAUUAAACAUAAAACGCGCGUUUUUAUUAAAUUCCCAGAAAAAAGAACAAUGCCCUUGAACAAAAGAACAAUUCCCCUAAACAAAAGAACAUUAAAGGCUCUGUUCUUUUCAGCUAUGUUUAUCGCGUUUUUAUUUGAUUCGUUGUUAUUUUUGCGAUAUAUAUUCUUCUGGGUUUUAUAUUUUGAAUUCAAACUAUGAAGAGGAGAGAGAAAGUGUGAACUAGGUUUUCUUAAAUGGGUUUUAGAGAGAGAAAGUAAUGAAAAUCCCCAAAAAUUCGUUGAUUUUUCUGCUUCAACAUCAAAUUAAAUUGAUUUUUCUUCUUCAAACCUGAAUUCUGCAGCUGGUAAUCUGAUUUUGGGAGGUAAUUUUUCAAUUUUGUAAUAAUAAAUGGUAUGUUUUGAUGAUUUUGAUUUUGUAAUAAUUGUGUUUUUGAUGAUUUUGACUAUGUUGAUGAUUUUGAUUGUGUAAUAAUCGUGUUUUGAUGAAUUUGAUGAUUUUAAUGAAUCAAAUUAUGUAAUAACACGCUGAUUUUUUUGAAAUCGUUGAUUUUGAAGAUUUUGAUUACGUAAUUACGAUUUUUUUCCCAGAAAAGAACAUUUUUACUAUUAAAGGAACAUAUGUUCGUAUUAAAAGAACAGUUUCAUUAUGCUCGUAUUAAAAGAACAGUUUCAUUAUAGUAGAAAAAUAGACCAUUUGCGUUUCAUAAUUUGUUCUUUUAUUUUACUGUGUUCUUCUUUUUUAUUAUUUUCAAUUUUAUUUGCGUUUCAUAACUUGUUCUUUUUAUUUUAUUGUGUUAUUUUUCUUGUUACUUUUUAUUUAUCCUUUGUUUCUUUGAUUGCGUUCUUUUUCUUGUUUUUAUACAUGUUAACCUAUUAUUUUUUUCAGAUAUUAAGAAUAAUGUGCUUGAUAAUUCAUAACAGAAUGAUGAAAAUGAUGAUUCCGAAUCAUAUGUUAUUGUGGGACAAAGUACUUGACUUGUUCCUUUUAGUCUCUAUAUUUGUUCUUUUAGUCUUUUCAUUUGUUCUUUUUAUAAUACUCUGUUAAAAUAACAAAAUAAAAACACGUGCACAGUUCUCAUUAUGCACUCUUUAACAAUUUUUCCUUUCUCCUUCUUUGUUCUUCAAUUAUUUGAUUCUACUUCCUAUUUGUUCAUUUUCUAUUUUUCAGCAACCAUAUAUAUAAUAAUUGUACUUAUGAGUCAUAACCAUUAGUCAUUUUAUAAAUACAUUUUAGAGAGAGAAAGAAAAGAUGAUUUAUAUUCUCUCAACAUAAGAGAGAUUUUUUGAAAGAGAAAGAGUUAGAUGGUGAGUGAUAGAGUAAAAAAACAGUUUCUCCUUAUUCUCUCUCUAAAAUUCCUUCUGAAUGUUUCUUGUUUGUUGAAAAUGAGUGAAUUAAGAAAAAACACUAGUUCAAUUUGGUUAGUUUUCGAAGCAAGAGAAUCUCUGGAGAGCGUGAUAUUUUCCGAGGAUUGAGAUCAGUUUUUUAAGAUUUAUUAAAAGAUAUUGAUGUUCCUGAUACAUGUUGAUCAAGUGAUUAAGGUACGUUUCCUUGUUCUUUCCUUUAAUGUUCUUUUUCAAGUUGUUAUGUUCUUUUCACAACUUUACUUUUACUGUGUCAUCAACAUAGUUUGUUCUUUUAAAUCAACAUAGUUUGUUCUUUUAUAUCAACGUACAUAGAUUGUUAAAAAAGAACAUAUAAUGGUUUGAAAAGAACAAAUAACACUUAAAAAAGAACAUAGUCCGAUUUGUGGUAAAAGAACAAAAAAUACUUUUAAAAAAAAUAUAGAUUUAGUUUUAAGUGCAUCAAAAAAUCUUCGUUUCGUCUUUUUAAUUAGAACAUAAAAUCAUUUGAAUAGAACAAAUAACACUUAAUAAAAGAACAUAGUUCUGAUGCGUGGGAUAAGAACAAAAAUACAUUUAAAUAAAAAUAUAGAUCUAGUUUUAAGUACAUCAAAAUAUCGUCGUUUUCGUCUUUUUAAUUAGAACACUAAGUGGUUUGAAAAGAACAAAUACAACUAAUAAAAGAACAUAGAUUUGUUGUUCUUUUCGUCCCUUUCAUUCUGUUCUUUUGUUUGAUAAGGAAAAAGAAAAUGUUGUUCUUUUCCAUGUGUUUUGUUCUUUUUUCUUCUGUUUUGUAAAAAAGUUGUUGUUCUUUUUUUAAUUAUUUUGUGUUCUUUUUAACUUAUUUAUGUUUUUUAAUAUUUAAUAACAUUAUCGAUAAUAAUUUUUUUUUUGUUUUUCUGUUGUAUUUUUCACACGAUGUUCUUUUUGAAAAAUAAUUGUUCUUUUUAUAGUUUAUCAGGAGAGAGAAUAUGUUAUUUUCAUUUUUGUAUAUUUUCUUUAGUUUUUUAGCAUUAGUGUUCUUUUCAGGUUUUAGUUAAUGUUCUUUUCGUUUACUUUAUUAUGUUCUUUCUGUUUAGUUUGUUAUGUUCUUUUUCGUUUUCUUUUAAUGUUUUUGCGUUUUGGUGCAGGUGCACGUAGAUCUACGUGCAGGCCCCUGCACCAUCCGCGCGUUGUCAAUCUCACAGGAUGGAUCUUUGGUUUCUGGUGGAUUUAAGCUUGGUCUUAUGAUUUGUUCCUAGAAAUUCCAUAUACUUCGUUUUAGGGUCAUUCUAGGCCUGUUUAGUCAGCCUCGUUCAGUCCUCUUGGGGACUUCAUCCUCUCUUCUUCAGCAAAUUCAACUGGUUUGUUCCUGAUAAUGCCAUACAUUCAUCUGCAUCAUUCUUUCUUGAGCAGAUUCAACUGAUUAGAUGUUGCAUUUACCCCAUUUUCUCUUAACUUCAAUUUAUGAGCUGCACUGCGGCUUUUAUGAGCUUUUAGAAUCCCAAUUCUGUGAUAGCUGUUACUAUUAUGGUAGUCCAAACACUGUGAAUCAUUCUUUUGAGUGGUAUAUAAAUUUCGCUUCAAGUUUUGAAGUACCAAUUUACCGAGACCAGGAAAAUAACAACUUUUUGGAAAUUAAUUCCUGGUAACUCAGUUGAAGAUUUAGGUGCACAUAAAUGCCUCCAUUGUAAAUCUCUAGUUUCGAAUAUCAGAUCUUCUGGUCUUUGUGUUUUAUGUUAUCACGGGGCUCUCUUGAAGAUUCAUGGCUUUAAUAAGUGUGUUCUGUUACAGUGCUUAUGACCUCAUUGUGCACCCUGACCUUUAUGGUGGAUAUCUUUCUUUCACUUCACAGACACUGACUACUACUUGCUGUUCAAUUUCUCAAAGUCUAUCAGAGCUUUAGGAGUAUCAAAUUCCAGAACUGUGAGAUAUAGUUGGACUAUUUUAAAGCAGGCUUGGACAUUUUGCCUUCAAUUCUUUCUGAAUGCUGAUAACCGAAGCCUAGUAGAUCUGAAACCAAAAUUUCUUUAUGAGUCUGCAGACAAGUCGAAGAUCUGGAAGCUCACUGAAAUUAAUAAAUCUUUAGUGCCGGUCACUAAGACUUCCUGAUAUUAUAUCAUCUAUGAGGAUGGAGCUGCCUCACUGGACUGAGAUUGUCAAGACUAGUAAACUCAAGGAACUCGCUCCAUAGGACCCUGACUGGUAUUACACCAGAGCUGAUUGAUCGUUUCUUAGAUAUACCUCUGCACGACCACUGCACGACCAACUCUAACAGUCCAAGGCAAACCUUAGUGAGACAGAAGUAAUCAACUUCUCCAAAUUAACCUGGUUUGACCAGGCACCAUCUCAAAGUUCUGACUGCAACCCCAAUCCAACAGAACCAGCUGCACCCAAUGUGUGACCUGAGGCAACACUGUCGCAAGCGUACCAGCAACAAGCAACCUGUAAAGUUUACACCACCCUGCCUGCAUCCUCGAAUAAAAUACCCAAGACCAGCUAUGUGAAAAAUGGCUCAUCCAAAGGGUUAAAAUCUGGCUUGGGUGUGUCUGAUGUGAUCCUGAGUUACAGAACUAGGCUGUCGUGGUUGUGUUGUGCUGCUUCUGGUGCUUUAUUGUUGUUCUGAUGUCCUUUUGGUACUGCUGUUUUGUUCUGCUCUGGUCUGCUCCUGCGUGCACUUUGUUGUUUUGCACAUUGCUGUUGGUAUAUUGCUGUUGUUAAAGCCUGAUGGUGGUCGUGUAUCUGAACAUCAUAUAGCAUGUGGUGCAAUCAGUUUGUACAAAGCUAUUUUAGACCAAUGUUUUGUUUUGGCCUUGGUAGUUCCU